UCAGGAUGAACGCUGGCGGCGUGCUUAACACAUGCAAGUCGAACGGGAAAUAUUUCAUUGAGACUUCGGUGGAUUUGAUCUAUUUCUAGUGGCGGACGGGUGAGUAACGCGUGGGUAACCUGCCUUAUACAGGGGGAUAACAGUCAGAAAUGGCUGCUAAUACCGCAUAAGCGCACAGAGCUGCAUGGCUCAGUGUGAAAAACUCCGGUGGUAUAAGAUGGACCCGCGUUGGAUUAGCUGGUUGGUGGGGUAACGGCCCACCAAGGCGACGAUCCAUAGCCGGCCUGAGAGGGUGAACGGCCACAUUGGGACUGAGACACGGCCCAGACUCCUACGGGAGGCAGCAGUGGGGAAUAUUGCACAAUGGGGGAAACCCUGAUGCAGCGACGCCGCGUGAAGGAAGAAGUAUCUCGGUAUGUAAACUUCUAUCAGCAGGGAAGAUAGUGACGGUACCUGACUAAGAAGCCCCGGCUAACUACGUGCCAGCAGCCGCGGUAAUACGUAGGGGGCAAGCGUUAUCCGGAUUUACUGGGUGUAAAGGGAGCGUAGACGGUGUGGCAAGUCUGACGUGAAAGGCAUGGGCUCAACCUGUGGACUGCAUUGGAAACUGUCAUACUUGAGUGCCGGAGGGGUAAGCGGAAUUCCUAGUGUAGCGGUGAAAUGCGUAGAUAUUAGGAGGAACACCAGUGGCGAAGGCGGCUUACUGGACGGUAACUGACGUUGAGGCUCGAAAGCGUGGGGAGCAAACAGGAUUA
rnacentral:rRNA from 1 species